AUGAGCCUGGACUCCUGGAUCCUAAGAAAGGGAAACCUUUGUGGUCUGAGACCCCCUGACGAUCUAUCCUUUCUGGACUUGAUGUGACAUCUCAAGACAAGAUACAGAGCUCUAACUUUCCAUGGAAUAUAUUACAAGACAGUAAAAAAUAAUACUGGCUCUCAGGACUACCUGGUUUCGAAUCUUACCUCUAUGAUUUUUGGUACUCAUUCACCUAAGUUCAAGAAAGAAGAAAUGCGAC